UACAGAGGGUGCGAGCGUUAAUCGGAAUUACUGGGCGUAAAGCGCGCGUAGGCGGCUUUGCAAGUCGGGUGUGAAAUCCCCAGGCUUAACCUGGGAACUGCAUUCGAGACUGCAUUGCUAGAGUAUGGGAGAGGGAAGUGGAAUUUCAGGUGUAGCGGUGAAAUGCGUAGAUAUCUGAAGGAACAUCAGUGGCGAAAGCGACUUCCUGGACCAAUACUGACGCUGAGGCGCGAAAGCGUGGGGAGCAACAGG
rnacentral:rRNA from 1 species